AACGAACGCUGGCGGCAUGCCUAACACAUGCAAGUCGAACGAGACCUUCGGGUUUAGUGGCGCACGGGUGCGUAACGCGUGGGAACCUGCCCUUAGGUUCGGAAUAACUCCCCGAAAGGGGUGCUAAUACCGGAUAAUGUCUUCGGACCAAAGAUGUAUCGCCUUUGGAUGGGCCCGCGUUGGAUUAGCUAGUUGGUAGGGUAAAAGCCUACCAAGGCGACGAUGCAUAGCUGGUCUGAGAGGAUGAUCAGCCACACUGGGACUGAGACACGGCCCAGACUCGUACGGGAGGGAGGAGAGGGGAAUAUUGGACAAGGGACGAAAGCCUAAUACAGCCGUGCCGCGGGAGUGAUGAAGGCCUUAGGGUUGUAAAGCUCUUUUAGCCGGGAUGAUAGUGACGGUACCGGGAGAAUAAGCUCCGGCUAACUCCGUG
rnacentral:rRNA from 1 species